AGAGUUUGAUCCUGGCCUCAGGAUGAACGCUGGCGGCGCUGCCUAACACAUGCAAGUCGAGCGAUUCUCUUCGGACAAGAGCGGCGGACGGGUGAGUAACGCGUGGGUAACCUGCCCUGUACACACGGAUAACAUACCGAAAGGUAUGCUAAUACGGGAUAAUAUACUUUUGUCGCAUGGCAGAAGUAUCAAAGCUCCGGCGGUACAGGAUGGACCCGCGUCUGAUUAGCUAGUUGGAGAGGUAAUGGCUCACCAAGGCAACGAUCAGUAGCCGACCUGAGAGGGUGAUCGGCCACAUUGGAACUGAGACACGGUCCAAACUCCUACGGGAGGCAGCAGUGGGGAAUAUUGCACAAUGGGCGAAAGCCUGAUGCAGCAACGCCGCGUGAGCGAUGAAGGCCUUCGGGUCGUAAAGCUCUGUCCUCAAGGAAGAUAAUGACGGUACUUGAGGAGGAAGCCCCGGCUAACUACGUGCCAGCAGCCGCGGUAAUACGUAGGGGGCUAGCGUUAUCCGGAAUUACUGGGCGUAAAGGGUGCGUAGGUGGUUUCUUAAGUCAGAGGUGAAAGGCUACGGCUCAACCGUAGUAAGCCUUUGAAACUGAGAAACUUGAGUGCAGGAGAGGAGAGUAGAACUCCUAGUGUAGCGGUGAAAUGCGUAGAUAUUAGGAGGAAUACCAGUUGCGAAGGCGGCUCUCUGGACUGUAACUGACACUGAGGCACGAAAGCGUGGGGAGCAAACAGGAUUAGAUACCCUGGUAGUCCACGCCGUAAACGAUGAGUACUAGGUGUCGGGGGUUACCCCCCUCGGUGCCGCAGCUAACGCAUUAAGUACUCCCCCUGGG
rnacentral:rRNA from 1 species